rnacentral:tmRNA from 1 species
UGACAGUUACGCUCUCGCUGCGUAAGCAGUAGAACGCGGGACCCGGCUCCGCCGCCUUGAGGGGCCGGCUUCCCGUCGCAAUCAAGGCUGGUCAAACCGCGGUUCCGGACGCGGCGCGAUGAGACGCUCCCGGAAUACGGAAGGACCGCGUGCCGUGCAGCCAAGUCCGUCCCGACAAAAAAAUGCGCGGCUAAACCUGUAGACGUUUGCGUUUCGCGUAUUAGGACGCGGGUCCGACUCCCGCCACCUCCACUA